rnacentral:rRNA from 1 species
GAUGGAGGGGGAUAACUACUGGAAACGGUGGCUAAUACCGCAUAACGUCGCAAGACCAAAGAGGGGGACCUUCGGGCCUCUUGCCAUCAGAUGUGCCCAGAUGGGAUUAGCUUGUUGGUGAGGUAACGGCUCACCAAGGCGACGAUCCCUAGCUGGUCUGAGAGGAUGACCAGCCACACUGGAACUGAGACACGGUCCAGACUCCUACGGGAGGCAGCAGUGGGGAAUAUUGCACAAUGGGCGCAAGCCUGAUGCAGCCAUGCCGCGUGUAUGAAGAAGGCCUUCGGGUUGUAAAGUACUUUCAGCGGGGAGGAAGGUGUUGUGGUUAAUAACCGCAGCAAUUGACGUUACCCGCAGAAGAAGCACCGGCUAACUCCGUGCCAGCAGCCGCGGUAAUACGGAGGGUGCAAGCGUUAAUCGGAAUUACUGGGCGUAAAGCGCACGCAGGCGGUCUGUCAAGUCGGAUGUGAAAUCCCCGGGCUCAACCUGGGAACUGCAUUCGAAACUGGCAGGCUUGAGUCUUGUAGAGGGGGGUAGAAUUCCAGGUGUAGCGGUGAAAUGCGUAGAGAUCUGGAGGAAUACCGGUGGCGAAGGCGGCCCCCUGGACAAAGACUGACGCUCAGGUGCGAAAGCGUGGGGAGCAAACAGGAUUAGAUACCCUGGUAGUCCACGCCGUAAACGAUGUCUACUUGGAGGUUGUGCCCUUGAGGCGUGGCUUCCGGAGCUAACGCGUUAAGUAGACCGCCUGGGGAGUACGGCCGCAAGGUUAAAACUCAAAUGAAUUGACGGGGGCCCGCACAAGCGGUGGAGCAUGUGGUUUAAUUCGAUGCAACGCGAAGAACCUUACCUGGUCUUGACAUCCACGGAAGUUUUCAGAGAUGGAUUGGUGCCUUCGGGAACCGUGAGACAGGUGCUGCAUGGCUGUCGUCAGCUCGUGUUGUGAAAUGUUGGGUUAAGUCCCGCAACGAGCGCAACCCUUAUCCUUUGUUGCCAGCGGUCCGGCCGGGAACUCAAAGGAGACUGCCAGUGAUAAACUGGAGGAAGGUGGGGAUGACGUCAAGUCAUCAUGGCCCUUACGACCAGGGCUACACACGUGCUACAAUGGCGCAUACAAAGAGAAGCGACCUCGCGAGAGCAAGCGGACCUCAUAAAGUGCGUCGUAGUCCGGAUUGGAGUCUGCAACUCGACUCCAUGAAGUCGGAAUCGCUAGUAAUCGUGGAUCAGAAUGCCACGGUGAAUACGUUCCCGGGCCUUGUACACACCGCCCGUCACACCAUGGGAGUGGGUUGCAAAAGAAGUAGGUAGCUUAACCUUCGGGAGGGCGCUUACCACUUUGUGAUUCAUGACUGGGGUGAAGUCGUAACAAGGUAACCGUAGGGGAACCUGCGGUUGGAUCACCUCCUUACCUUAAAGAAGC